AGGUCUUGGGAUAUUUGGGGUUAAGCAUCCUUGGGUUUGAAUAAUACUGGGCUGGGUGACCUUUUGGGAAGUCCAAAUUCAAGAGUUU
rnacentral:rRNA from 1 species